rnacentral:rRNA from 1 species
GCGUCGGCCCGUCGGUGGACCGAGGAAGACCGUCGCGGAGCGGCGUCGACCGUUCGUCGUGUGUUGGCGUUCGACUCGGGGGGACUGGUUCCAGUGCCCUCGGACCGCGCCGGCGCAGCGGCGGGCGCGCACGGCGUCGCGCCUGGGGUCGGUGGCGAAACGGCCGGCAACCUGUCCGACCCGUCUUGAAACACGGACCAAGGAGUCUAACAUGUGCGCGAGUCGUUGGGCGCUACGAAACCCGAAGGCGCAAUGAAAGUGAAGGCCCGGUCUCCGGCCGGCCUGGGUGGGAUCCCGGCGGUCUCGGCCGUCGGGCGCACCACCGGCCCGUCUCGUUCGUUACGUCGAGGAGGCGGAGCAAGAGCGUACACGUUGGGACCCGAAAGAUGGUGAACUAUGCCCGAGUAGGACGAAGCCAGAGGAAACUCUGGUGGAGGUCCGCAGCGAUUCUGACGUGCAAAUCGAUCGUCAAACUUGGGUAUAGGGGCGAAAGACUAAUCGAACCAUAUAGUAGCUGGUUNCUGUCGAAGUUUCCCUCAGGAUAGCUGGCGCUCGUCGUGAGCAGUUUUAUCCGGUAAAGCGAAUGACUGGAGGCCUUGGG